AAUGAACGCUGGCGGCAGGCCUAACACAUGCAAGUCGAACGGAUCCUUCGGGAUUAGUGGCGGACGGGUGAGUAACGCGUGGGAACAUACCCUUUGGUACGGAAUAGCCUCGGGAAACUGGGAGUAAUACCGUAUGUGGUCGAGAGACGAAAGAUUUAUCGCCAAAGGAUUGGCCCGAGUUGGAUUAGGUAGUUGGUGGGGUAAUGGCCUACCAAGCCGACGAUCCAUAGCUGGUUUGAGAGGAUGAUCAGCCACACUGGGACUGAGGCACGGCCCAGACUCCUACGGGAGGCAGCAGUGGGGAAUCUUAGACAAUGGGGGAAACCCUGAUCUAGCCAUGCCGCGUGAUCGAUGAAGGCCUUAGGGUUGUAAAGAUCUUUCAGGUGGGAAGAUAAUGACUGUACCACCAGAAGAAGCCCCGGCUAACUCCGUGCCAGCAGCCGCCGUAA
rnacentral:rRNA from 1 species